GGGUUGUGAGGUUAAGCGACUAAGCGUACACGGUGGAUGCCCUGGCAGUCAGAGGCGAUGAAGGACGUGCUAAUCUGCGAAAAGCGCCGGCGAGGUGAUAUGAACCUUUGACCCGGCGAUGUCCGAAUGGGGAAACCCAGUGUGAUUCGUCACACUAUCGUUAACUGAAUACAUAGGUUAACGAGGCGAACCGGGGGAACUGAAACAUCUAAGUACCCCGAGGAAAAGAAAUCAACCGAGAUUCCCCCAGUAGCGGCGAGCGAACGGGGAGCAGCCCAGAGUCUGAAUCAGCUUGUGUGUUAGUGGAAGCGUCUGGAAAGUCGCACGGUACAGGGUGACAGUCCCGUACACGAAAGCACACAGGUUGUGAACUCGAAGAGUAGGGCGGGACACGUGGUAUCCUGUCUGAAUAUGGGGGGACCAUCCUCCAAGGCUAAAUACUCCUGACUGACCGAUAGUGAACCAGUACCGUGAGGGAAAGGCGAAAAGAACCCCGGCGAGGGGAGUGAAAAAGAACCUGAAACCGUGUACGUACAAGCAGUGGGAGCACCUUCGUGGUGUGACUGCGUACCUUUUGUAUAAUGGGUCAGCGACUUAUAUUCUGUAGCAAGGUUAACCGUAUAGGGGAGCCGAAGGGAAACCGAGUCUUAACUGGGCGUUAAGUUGCAGGGUAUAGACCCGAAACCCGGUGAUCUAGCCAUGGGCAGGUUGAAGGUUGGGUAACACUAACUGGAGGACCGAACCGACUAAUGUUGAAAAAUUAGCGGAUGACUUGUGGCUGGGGGUGAAAGGCCAAUCAAACCGGGAGAUAGCUGGUUCUCCCCGAAAGCUAUUUAGGUAGCGCCUCGUGAACUCAUCUUCGGGGGUAGAGCACUGUUUCGGCUAGGGGGCCAUCCCGGCUUACCAACCCGAUGCAAACUACGAAUACCGAAGAAUGUUAUCACGGGAGACACACGGCGGGUGCUAACGUCCGUCGUGAAGAGGGAAACAACCCAGACCGCCAGCUAAGGUCCCAAAGUCAUGGUUAAGUGGGAAACGAUGUGGGAAGGCACAGACAGCCAGGAUGUUGGCUUAGAAGCAGCCAUCAUUUAAAGAAAGCGUAAUAGCUCACUGGUCGAGUCGGCCUGCGCGGAAGAUGUAACGGGGCUAAACCAUGCACCGAAGCUGCGGCAGCGACGCUUAUGCGUUGUUGGGUAGGGGAGCGUUCUGUAAGCCGUUGAAGGUGUGCUGUGAGGCAUGCUGGAGGUAUCAGAAGUGCGAAUGCUGACAUAAGUAACGAUAAAGCGGGUGAAAAGCCCGCUCGCCGGAAGACCAAGGGUUCCUGUCCAACGUUAAUCGGGGCAGGGUGAGUCGACCCCUAAGGCGAGGCCGAAAGGCGUAGUCGAUGGGAAACAGGUUAAUAUUCCUGUACUUGGUGUUACUGCGAAGGGGGGACGGAGAAGGCUAUGUUAGCCGGGCGACGGUUGUCCCGGUUUAAGCAUGUAGGCGGAGGUUCCAGGUAAAUCCGGUACCUUUUAACGCUGAGGUGUGAUGACGAGGCACUACGGUGCUGAAGUAACAAAUGCCCUGCUUCCAGGAAAAGCCUCUAAGCAUCAGGUAACAUCAAAUCGUACCCCAAACCGACACAGGUGGUCAGGUAGAGAAUACCAAGGCGCUUGAGAGAACUCGGGUGAAGGAACUAGGCAAAAUGGUGCCGUAACUUCGGGAGAAGGCACGCUGAUAUGUAGGUGAAGCCCCUGCGGGUGGAGCUGAAAUCAGUCGAAGAUACCAGCUGGCUGCAACUGUUUAUUAAAAACACAGCACUGUGCAAACACGAAAGUGGACGUAUACGGUGUGACGCCUGCCCGGUGCCGGAAGGUUAAUUGAUGGGGUUAGCGGUAACGCGAAGCUCUUGAUCGAAGCCCCGGUAAACGGCGGCCGUAACUAUAACGGUCCUAAGGUAGCGAAAUUCCUUGUCGGGUAAGUUCCGACCUGCACGAAUGGCGUAAUGAUGGCCAGGCUGUCUCCACCCGAGACUCAGUGAAAUUGAACUCGCUGUGAAGAUGCAGUGUACCCGCGGCAAGACGGAAAGACCCCGUGAACCUUUACUAUAGCUUGACACUGAACACUGGUCCUUGAUGUGUAGGAUAGGUGGGAGGCUUUGAAGUGUGGACGCCAGUCUGCAUGGAGCCGUCCUUGAAAUACCACCCUUUAAUGGCUGGUGUUCUAACGUAGACCCGUGAUCCGGGUUGCGGACAGUGUCUGGUGGGUAGUUUGACUGGGGCGGUCUCCUCCCAAAGAGUAACGGAGGAGCACGAAGGUUAGCUAAUCCUGGUCGGACAUCAGGAGGUUAGUGCAAUGGCAUAAGCUAGCUUGACUGCGAGAGUGACGGCUCGAGCAGGUGCGAAAGCAGGUCAUAGUGAUCCGGUGGUUCUGAAUGGAAGGGCCAUCGCUCAACGGAUAAAAGGUACUCCGGGGAUAACAGGCUGAUACCGCCCAAGAGUUCAUAUCGACGGCGGUGUUUGGCACCUCGAUGUCGGCUCAUCACAUCCUGGGGCUGAAGUAGGUCCCAAGGGUAUGGCUGUUCGCCAUUUAAAGUGGUACGCGAGCUGGGUUUAGAACGUCGUGAGACAGUUCGGUCCCUAUCUGCCGUGGGCGCUGGAGAAUUGAGGGGGGCUGCUCCUAGUACGAGAGGACCGGAGUGGACGCAUCACUGGUGUUCGGGUUGUCAUGCCAAUGGCACUGCCCGGUAGCUAAAUGCGGAAAAGAUAAGUGCUGAAAGCAUCUAAGCACGAAACUUGCCCCGAGAUGAGUUCUCCCUGAGACUUUAAGUCUCCUGAAGGAACGUUGAAGACGACGACGUUGAUAGGUCGGGUGUGUAAGCGCAGCGAUGCGUUGAGCUAACCGAUACUAAUGAACCGUGAGGCUUAACCUUACAACGCCGAAGGUGUUU
rnacentral:rRNA from 1 species